AGCGAACGCUGGCGGCGUGCUUAACACAUGCAAGUCGAACGUGAACGGGAGCAAUCCUUAGUAAAGUGGCGGACGGGUGAGUAACGCGUGGGAACGUACCCUUUGCUACGGAAUAGCCCCGGGAAACUGGGAGUAAUACCGUAUGUGCCCUUCGGGGGAAAGAUUUAUCGGCAAAGGAUCGGCCCGCGUUGGAUUAGGUAGUUGGUGGGGUAAUGGCCUACCAAGCCGACGAUCCAUAGCUGGUUUGAGAGGAUGAUCAGCCACACUGGGACUGAGACACGGCCCAGACUCCUACGGGAGGCAGCAGUGGGGAAUAUUGGACAAUGGGGGGAACCCUGAUCCAGCCAUGCCGCGUGAGGGAAGAAGGUCCUCUGGGAUUGUAAACCUCUUUUUGGCAGGAAACAAACCUGCGCUAUACGCGCAGCUGAGGGUACCUGCAGAAUAAGCACCGGCUAACUCCGUGCCCAAGCAGCCGCGGUAAUGUAGUCGUGU
rnacentral:rRNA from 1 species